rnacentral:rRNA from 1 species
GACGUAGGGCGCAAGCGUUGUCCGGAUUUAUUGGGCGUAAAGAGCUCGUAGGCGGCCUGUCGCGUCGACCGUGAAAACCCGCAGCUCAACUGCGGGCUUGCGGUCGAUACGGGCAGGCUGGAGUUCGGUAGGGGAGACUGGAAUUCCUGGUGUAGCGGUGAAAUGCGUAGAUAUCCGGAAGAACACCAAAGGCGAAGGCAGUGUCCUGGCUGGUACCUGACGCUUAGGUGCGAAAGCUAGGGGAGCGAACGGG